rnacentral:rRNA from 1 species
UACGAAGGGUGCAAGCGUUACUCGGAAUUACUGGGCGUAAAGCGUGCGUAGGUGGUUUGUUAAGUCUGAUGUGAAAGCCCUGGGCUCAACCUGGGAAUGGCAUUGGAUACUGGCGAGCUAGAGUGCGGUAGAGGGUAGUGGAAUUCCCGGUGUAGCAGUGAAAUGCGUAGAGAUCGGGAGGAACAUCUGUGGCGAAGGCGACUACCUGGACCAGCACUGACACUGAGGCACGAAAGCGUGGGGAGCAGACAGG